rnacentral:pre_miRNA from 1 species
CCUCUAACAUGUGAGAACUUGCUCUCAUUGAAGUAAGUGCUCGCUUGUUGGGAUUU